CCUACGGGAGGCAGCAGUGAGGAAUAUUGGUCAAUGGGCGGAAGCCUGAACCAGCCAAGUCGCGUGAGGGAUGAAGGUUCUAUGGAUCGUAAACCUCUUUUAUAAGGGAAUAAAGUGCGGGACGUGUCCCGUUUUGUAUGUACCUUAUGAAUAAGGAUCGGCUAACUCCGUGCCAGCAGCCGCGGUAAUACGGAGGAUACGAGCGUUAUCCGGAUUUAUUGGGUUUAAAGGGUGCGUAGGCGGAAUGCCAAGUCAGCGGUAAAAUCGCGGGGCUCAACCUCGCUCCGCCGUUGAAACUGGCGUUCUUGAGUGGGCGAGAAGUAUGCGGAAUGCGUGGUGUAGCGGUGAAAUGCAUAGAUAUCACACAGAACACCGAUUGCGAAGGCAUCUCACGAAUCCGCGAUUGACGCUGAUGCACGAAAGCGUGGGUAUCAAACAGGAUUAGAUACCCUUGUAGUC
rnacentral:rRNA from 1 species